rnacentral:rRNA from 1 species
GGGUUAGUCGAUCCUAAGAGAUGGGCUAAUGCUGUAUUAAGGGGGCGAUUUGCCCCGCCCAUCGAAAGGGAAAAGGGUUAAGAUUCCCUUACCUGGACAAGGCGCUUGACGGCAACGUAAGCGAGCCUGCAGACGCCGGUGGUGGCCCUGGGAAGAGUUCUCUUUUCUUUUUAACAGCCCGACGACCCUGGAAUCGAGUCAUUCGGAGAUAGGGUUCAGUGGCUGGUAAAGCAUCGCACGUCUCGCGGUGUCCGGAGCGCCACCAACGGUCCUUGAAAAUGCAGGGGAGCAUCUGCGAUCUUGCCAGGUCGUACUCAUAACCGCAUCAGGGCUCCAAGGUGAACAGCCUCCAGUCGAUAGAACAAUGUAGAUAA